CUUACAAUUGCGAUGGGGGGACGGAGAAGGCUAGGUGGGCCUGGCGACGGUUGUCCAGGUUCAAGUGCGUAGGCUUAAGAGUUAGGUAAAUCCGGCUCUUUUUAAGGCUGAGACACGACGUCGAGCACCUACGGGUGUGAAGUCAUUGAUGCCAUGCUUCCAGGAAAAGCCUCUAAGCUUCAGAUUGUAAGGAAUCGUACCCCAAACCGACACAGGUGGUCGGGUAGAGAAUACCAAGGCGCUUGAGAGAACUCGGGUGAAG
rnacentral:rRNA from 1 species